rnacentral:rRNA from 1 species
GAUAGAGGUGGCAAGCGUUGUUCGGAUUUAUUGGGUGUAAAGGGUAGGUAGGCGGUCGGAUAAGUCUGACGUGAAAUCCCAUGGCUCAACCGUGGAACUGCGUUGGAAACUGUCUGACUUGAGUAUCGAAAAGGUGAGGGGAAUUCUCAGUAUAAGGGUGAAAUCUGUAGAUAUCGAGAAGAACACCAAUGGCGAAGGCGCCUCACUGGCCGGUAACUGACGCUGAGCUGCGAAAGCAAGGGGAGCAAACAGG